UGUGUGUGUGUGUUUGUUUGUUUGUUUGUUUGUUUGUGUGUGUGCAUAGAGAGAGGGAGAGAGAGAGAGAUUGGAUCAGUAUUUGAGGUUAUUUAAUUAAGUGAUUACUAAAUCUAAGGCAAGUUAAUAACAUUGGUGCAGAUUUCGUGACAAGUUGGCCAGAUAAUGCACUGCAAGGAACAUUUCUGCAAACAUUAAAUGACCAAAUGAAAGAUCAGUUGGUUUCCCUGGACUUUUCCACUUUCACAAGGCACUUCCUGUUCUGGUGUGCAGUACUCUCUGCGUCAAGUAACUUCAGAACCAAUGUAGAUGACAACUACAUUGGUUCUGAAGCGCAUUUCCUCACAACUUACCCGGUAUGGCCAAAAGAGUCCACCUACCAGUAAGGUUGGGGAUACUAGUGGGCUUCGCUAUUCAAUCUGUACUUUCCAUUUGUCUGUCACCAUUUACGCUGCACAACAUUCUUUUCCACUCCAGGCUCUAAUAAGCUCUGUCACUGAGCAGGUAAAGCUACCUCUGCAACUGUUAACCACUCCCAUUCCGGCUACUGUGUUCGGCACCAUCACCUACCAAACCAGGACCACCCACCUAGUAGUUUCAGGCCUGGAAGACAGUGAACGGACGGCGUUGACAAAAUUACCAAGUACGAAAAUCAGAAAUGGCCGUCUACCAGCAGCCCACCCAGGUAGUGACGGUCACCACCACAAAUCUAAACCAUGGGGAGUGGAGCACUGGACUCUUUGAUUGCUUCAGUGAUAUGGAAACUUGUUGCUGUGGCCUUUGGUGUUUCCCCUGCAUGAAGUGUGAUACAGCCGACAAGCACGGCUGGUGUUACUGCAUCCCAUUCUUUGACCAAUGCUACAUGGUGUCCUUGUUGCUCCGCCAGUCGAUCAGAGAGCGCUACGGCAUCCCUGGCUCGUGCUGUGAUGACUGGUGUAAAUUAAUUUGGUGUUACGAGUGUGUCUGGUGCCAGAUGCGUCGUGAGGUGAAGAUCAGGAACGGCCUGUAGCUCACCAGCUCAAUGAUGGUCACCACUCAAGUUGUGAGAGGAUAAUAUGUAACCAUUUUGGCUGUUGGUUGAUUGAAUAUGAUAUAUUUGGUAUGAUUUUGAGAUGAUACAAUUAAUAAGAAAACCUGACUGUUUCUACAGUAUGAGGUAAAAAUAAAAAUAUAUAGGUUGCUUUUUCCCCCCCUACAGCAUUUCAAGAAUUUCUAAGUUCCUAUGCUCAUGUAGUUUAGUUCAAUAUGUAGAAUCAAGAUUGUUUUAGUUUUGGUAGUGUGUUGGGCAUAUAAUAUAAUUGAGAACGUUUGUUUACUCUGGCCAGUAAAAUCUGUGUAAUUGUACAUGCUCACUGCUAUUGUAAUCUUUCCCAAGUUGAAUUUCACAUUUGCUGAAAUAAAAAAAUUAUUCAUAUU